UCCUUUCUUCUUUCCUUCCUUUGUUUUCUUCUCCCUUCUUUUCUUUCUUUCCAUUUACUUCUUCUUGUUAUUGUCUUUCACUUUUUUUUCCUUUUCUUUAUCUUUUCUUCCUUUCUUUCUUUCCUUUUCUUCUUCUCUCCUUACAUGGAUGGAUUUCUUUCCUUAUGUGGAUGGUUUCGAAGAUCCGACUCCAUCAUGAUCUUAUUUUCUAACAAUAAAGGAAUGGGAUGGGAUGACUGGGAUGCCCCUUUCUAACAAUAAAGAAACAUUACUUGUUUCGUUUUCCUCCCUUUUGAUCCUUACAACAUAAUGAGCAUCGUACAUUGGAUUUCUAAAUCUGUAAAUAAUUUAUGCUCAAAUUAUGAGUUGAUUUUAUCAUUUAAUGACUUGCAUUUCCUCAGUCAUUAUAAGUUAAUAGGACAGAACCACCUGCAAAAUAUC
rnacentral:lncRNA from 1 species